rnacentral:tRNA from 1 species
GAGAGAGACUUGCUAGUAAUGAAAACUGCUAAUUUUCACCUUCCUGGUUGAACUCCAGGGCUCACUCG